GCUGGUGUAGCUCAAUUGGCAGAGCAGCUGACUUGUAAUCAGCAGGUUGGGGGUUCGAUUCCUCUCGCCAGCU
rfam:Megamonas funiformis YIT 11815 genomic scaffold supercont1.1, whole genome shotgun sequence.